rnacentral:misc_RNA from 1 species
UGAUGACAGUGACAAGAGAAUUCCUGAUAUGACCAUCAUCAACAAGCAACUGGGUUGGAACCCGAAGACAUCGCUCUGGGACCUGCUGGAAUCAACUCUGACCUAUCAACAUCGAACAUAUGCCGAGGCGAUCAAGCAGGCGACAGCAAAACCAGCUGCAUCCAGCUAGAGAAUGUGGUGCUCUUCUCUUUUUGGUCAUUUUUUUUCUUCUUCUCAGGCUCUUUACAGGAGUUUUAUUUGUAAUAUGUGGCUGUGUCCAAGCUUUUCUCCAAUUCUUUUCUGAGAUUAUAACUAUAUGUUGAUGGAUCAGUCCCACAUUAGUAACAUUUUUUUUUCUUCUUGAUUUUGAAAUGUGUUAGUUGGAUAGGUGAUAUGUGUAGCCCUGUUGGGGAAGACUCUGUUAUAUGUAAAAUGAUUGAAUUUCAAGCUUGGACUACAAGAUAAGGGAGA